GAUGAAGAACGUAGUGAAAUGCGAUAAGUAAUGUGAAUUGCAGAAUUCAGUGAAUCAUCGAAUCUUUGAACGCACCUUGCGCCCUUUGGACAUUCCGAAGGGCAUGCCUGUUUGAGUAUCAUGAACACCUCAACUCUCACGGCUUGUCCGUGAUGAGCUUGGACUUUGGGGGUCUUGCCGGCCUGUGGUCGGCUCCUCUCAAAUGGAUCAGCUUGCCAGUGUUUGGUGGCAUCACAGGUGUGAUAACUAUCUGCGCUUGUGGUUUUCCAUCAGAUAACCUUCAGUGAUAUGGAGGUUCGCUGGAGCUCACAAAUGUCUCUCCUUAGUGAGGACAGCUCUUUGAACGUUUGAUCUCAAAUCAGGUAGGACUACCCGCUGAACUUAAGCAUAUCAAUAAGCGGAGGA
rnacentral:misc_RNA from 1 species